rnacentral:rRNA from 1 species
AUUGAACGCUGGCGGCAUGCUUUACACAUGCAAGUCGAACGGUAACAGGCCGCAAGGUGCUGACGAGUGGCGAACGGGUGAGUAAUGCAUCGGAACGUGCCCAGUCGUGGGGGAUAACGCAGCGAAAGCUGCGCUAAUACCGCAUACGAUCUAUGGAUGAAAGCGGGGGACCGAAAGGCCUCGCGCGAUUGGAGCGGCCGAUGUCAGAUUAGGUAGUUGGUGGGGUAAAGGCUCACCAAGCCGACGAUCUGUAGCUGGUCUGAGAGGACGACCAGCCACACUGGGACUGAGACACGGCCCAGACUCCUACGGGAGGCAGCAGUGGGGAAUUUUUCGCAAUGGGCGCAAGCCUGACGAAGCAACGCCGCGUGGAGGAUGAAGGCCUUCGGGUUGUAAACUCCUGUCGACCGGGACGAAAGCUAUCAGAUCUAACACAUUUGGUAGUUGACUGUACCGGUGGAGGAAGCCACGGCUAACUCUGUGCCAGCCGCCGCGGUAAUAC